rnacentral:rRNA from 1 species
CCCCUAGACGUUCUGGGCUGCACGCGCGCUACAAUAAUACGCACAGCGAGUAUCACCAAGCUCGAUAGGGCAAGGUAAACAACAGAAAGGGUACUGUAAUGGUUAUAGAUCCUUGUAAUUAUUGAUCUUCAACGAGGAAUUCCUAGUAAGUUUGUGUCAUCAUCACGCACUGAUUACGUCCCUGCCCUUUGUACACACCGCCCGUCGCUCCUACCGAUUGGGUGAGCCGAUGAAACUCCCGGAUGUGAGCUCUCGUGAGAUUGCAGAAGGGAUUUGAAUCGUAGCGCUUGGAGGAAGGAGAAGUCGUAACA